UUAUCUCGGCUAUUAUCUUAUUUGUUCGUUGUAUCCCACUGCAAGUUUACUCAGUGCCGAGUUCAUACAAUGUUGUAUCCUCACUUUCAAACUCAAUGCUCCAAUUUUUUGUAUUUUGUCGUCCCCAAUUGUAUGGUUUUGACUUUCCAAAGUGUAUCGCCAGGAAGCUAUUGCUUCUAUCUAUGGAAUUUUCAAGGUUUCGAGUCACCAACACUAAGUAUUUUCUUUGAUAUGAUUCCUAAUGUAUGUCUAAUAUUGUCUUGAUAAGAAGUCUAAGAGGUUUACAGUUGUGGAGUGAUAGUUCUGAUGAGAAUCCAUUUUUGUUGCAAAAGCCGAGAACUCUUCAUCCUAUUGUGCAAGUUGUUUUAAGUUUUUGGUUUUGUUUUCUGCUUAUGGUAUGAAACAUACAAUUCAUAUUUGUAUAAUGUAAAAUUUAUACAAAAAAAAAAAGGUCAAAGUUUUAUUUCAA